GACGAACGCUGGCGGCGUGCCUAAUACAUGCAAGUUGAGCGCUGAAGGUUGGUACUUGUACCAACUGGAUGAGCAGCGAACGGGUGAGUAACGCGUGGGGAAUCUGCCUUUGAGCGGGGGACAACAUUUGGAAACGAAUGCUAAUACCGCAUAAAAACUUUAAACACAAGUUUUAAGUUUGAAAGAUGCAAUUGCAUCACUCAAAGAUGAUCCCGCGUUGUAUUAGCUAGUUGGUGAGGUAAAGGCUCUCCAAGGCGAUGAUACAUAGCCGACCUGAGAGGGUGAUCGGCCACAUUGGGACUGAGACACGGCCCAAACUCCUACGGGAGGCAGCAGUAGGGAAUCUUCGGCAAUGGACGAAAGUCUGACCGAGCAACGCCGCGUGAGUGAAGAAGGGUUUCGGAUCGUAAAACUCUGUUGGUAGAGAAGAACGUUGGUGAGAGUGGAAAGCUCAUCAAGUGACGGUAACUACCCAGAAAGGGACGGCUAACUACGUG
rnacentral:rRNA from 1 species